AGGCAAAAUUAAAGCUUCUGUUUCUGUUCUGGUGGGGGUAGAAGAGGACGCUUCCUUGCACAAGUUGCAUCUCACUCACAGAGGUUUAACAUGAAGACUGUCCUGCUUGUCACUGCUCUUCUCCUGAUGAAUUUGAUGACUGAAACCUUUGCUACAACGCAAAAAACCACGGGGUCACCCAAAAAAAGCCUGGGCACCCCCUGCUGCGUCCCAGCUUCUCUUUUGCUGGUGUUUGCCUUGGCAGCAAUUUACCUCCUCCGAGCAAAAUGAGCCCCCACACUUCACUCCCCAGAGAGAUGCCAACGCUGCCUUCUGCCUGCCACCAGCUCAGCCUCUCCUGCCGGGCACCCCGCUGGAGCCUGCCAAUCCACGUAACCCAGCCAGCAUAACCGCUCCAGUUCAAGUCUUCCCGCAACA